rnacentral:rRNA from 1 species
AAUCAACGCUGGCGGCGUGCCUAACACAUGCAAGUCGAACGCGAAAAGGGCUUCGGCUCUUAGUAGAGUGGCGAACGGGUGAGUAACACGUGGGUGACCUACCUUUGAAUGGGGGAUAACGUCCCGAAAGGGACGCUAAUACCGCAUAACAUCCUGCCUUUGAACAGGUGGAGAUCAAAGCCGGGGAUCGCAAGACCUGGCGUUUGGAGAGGGGCCCGCGUCUGAUUAGCUAGUUGGUGAGGAACGGCCCACCAAGGCGACGAUCAGUAUCCGGCCUGAGAGGGCGGACGGACACACUGGGACUGAGACACGGCCCAGACUCCUACGGGAGGCAGCAGUGGGGAAUUGUUCGCAAUGGGCGCAAGCCUGACGACGCAACGCCGCGUGGAGGAUGAAGGUCUCGGAUUGUAAACUCCUGUUGCUCGGGACGAAAAGCUUCGACCUAACACGUCGAAGUCUGACGGUACCGGGUGAGGAAGCCCCGGCUAACUCUGUGCCAGCCGCCGCCGUAAU